rnacentral:lncRNA from 1 species
GGGAGGUGUAUUGAUUAGUUAGAUUGCCUUUGAAGACUUGGUUAUGAGCUGAACUGGGCAAUGGCCUACAGCUGCUGCUGCACUGAGCCACAUUUCAAAACCAGAACUAUUUUCUGAGGCUGCUCCUGAGGGCUCCUGAGAUGCGAUUGACGCCCCAACUCCCUCACUCUGUCUCAGUGCUGUCUGUAUGCAUUUGGGGGCUGGGGCAGCUUCUGGAGCAAGGCGUUUCUUUGGAUCCAUCAUCCAGAGGCUUCAUUCCCGCAGGCUCUAGGUUGAGAGGUCCUGCCCCAUUGAUCACUGCUCCCAGGGGCCCCUGUGUGGGGAAGAGGAUCCUAGUAUUCAGAGUUGGGAGAUAUUUUAGAGUCCAACUUCCUUAUUUUAUGGGCAAGAAGAUUAGGUCCUGGAGACAAGAGGAAUGACCUGACCCAAGUCACACAGAUGAAAAAUCCAGACUUCAACCAAAACAACAUAUCACAACAGAUUGAAUGCAGAAGCAGAAAUGAGAAUCCAGCUGUCUUCUAUUAAGCCAGACAUUAAAGAGAUUGGAAAAAAAUAUGUAAAACAAUGCCAUUCUGCUCACUAAAUUUUUUGUUUUGGAAAACAGUUAUUUUUCAUAAAAAUAUAUUUUAUGUUA